AGGUCGGGCGCAGGCGGGGUGACCCGGGGAAGGGGCGCGCACAGAGACAGAGGAAGCCAGCCGAGCCCUGCGGUGUCCUCGGACGCCUCCGAAAUCUCCCUGAGUGUUUGUUUCUUCGGAGCUUCACCGGAGCCUGACUCUGGACCCGGCCUGUCUGCCUACUGCAGUCUAAAAAAGACCUUCUGCUGCUCCUCAGGAUGGUGGGACUUGGGGGCCAUGUACAUGAUGAUGGCACUGCCAAAGAAAAGCCCCACCACGCAAAGGUGGGAGGAGCAGGUGGAGAAGGCCUUUCUGCGGCCCUCCCCAGACUGGAUCCUCAAGAUGGCCUCCAGGAUGCGUGAACAGGAGACCAGCACCAGACUGGGCGGCCCCACCAGGAAGAACACGCAGCCUGCAAAGAUGACCACUUGGUUAAGCCAGGUGUCAGCACAGGCCAGCCUGAGG
rnacentral:antisense_RNA from 1 species